GACACAACUGAAUUCCUUCAAGUCUUUCCUGAACCAUUUCACUUCAUUCAGUGUUCGCAAAACAGCCGUACAGUGGAAUCAUUGCACAAUGUUUUUGGUGUAUUUGUUUCUCGUGGUUUUGGCCACUGGGUGCCAGGGACUGCCUUCAACAUCCGAUGAAGGAGGAUCUGACGAGAAAUGCGUCUGCAAUCCGGUGGUGAACGUCGGAGGUCAGCCUUGUCAAUUCGACGGGCACAUUGCAGACCUCCAGACAGUGCUGAUUGCUCAACAGGCGCACAUCACAAGACUCCAGAACGACUCAAAAACUUCUCAGAAUCAACUGUUAGGUCUUUUGGCUGAACAGAAGACGAUCACAGACAGUCUGAAGGAACGAGUUUCACUGCUCGAGCAAAUGAUCAGUAACACAGGUAUCAUAAUUGUCCUUGUCAUAAGUUAUAACUUCAUUGUUUGUCAAGUGUACCCAGUGAACCACCUCAUGGCUGAACACACCAGGUUUGUUCAUUUGAGCUGAAGAGGACGAUUUAUAUCAUUUACUCACAUCGGAAAGCACUCUUUCUGAUAAGUCUCAUGGGUUCUUUAACGUGCCCGAGUUGUGACCCUUAAGCAAUAAACCUCCUUUUAUCGUCUAUCCGAAGGACGUCCAUAACCAAAUUAAAGCUA